rnacentral:lncRNA from 1 species
UGCGUACAGACUGCUGGCUGGGCUAGGUUGCUCUGUGCUCCCGGCUCCCAAGUGACCUGCUGACCUGCUGCGCCACACAAGCGCAUUCCCGCUGCUGCUGAGCUGCUCAGAACCAUCCGCCCAGCUUGGAGACAGUUUCUAGCUGCCUAGAGUCGAGUAGGCCUCGGCUUUCAGCAGGGGCUUCCCCUGAUCACUACUGCCGUAAAAGUAAAGCCGCAUCUCUUUCAGUGGUUGCGGUUGCGGUAGCAAGGCCGUAUACUCUCUAAGAUAAUUGCAGUCGCUUUUGUGACCUCUUUCCACUGCUGACUGACCGCUGCUGCCAAACGCUGCACGGAGUAGCUGAACGCCUGUGUCACCUGCUGGUCAAAGAGAGUUACUGCAUCUGGAGUAGAAAUCAGGUCCUUCUUGUUCCCGACUGCCAUUCUGGAGGGAUGGAAGACACGAGUUAAUACAGUUACCUUGUUAAACAAUAAAUGACUCUUGGCUUUGCAUCGAACAGGUCUCUUGGUGAUUUGGGGGUUCUGAAUUUGGGCACAACAAUUUUCACUAAUAUUUGCAUGUCCAGAUUCCUCCAUUCAUUGUGUUUACCAAACUCUGUGCUUCAUAAAGACACAGAAAGCAAGUGUUCAGUACAGACAAGUAGAGGAAACACAGUACAUAAGCAAGGCCCAGCCUGGGGAC